AUUUAAUUUUCUCAUGGUUUCAGGGAAUUCAGACCACGGUCAGCUGUCUCCAAGGCAGUGACAUCAUAGCAGAAGGGAGUGGUGGAACAAAUAUACUUAGCUCAUGUUGGUCAAGAAGCAGAACAGGAGAACAACGCCAGAAAGGAAGAGGCUAGGGAGCAAGAUGAUGAUUCCAUGACACCCCCCAGAUCCCCCCAGCAGCAGUGUGCUUUACUGCUACCCUAUGCAGCUCCCAAGCCAAUCACACUGACACAAUUAAGUUGGACCACUACCCUUUGCAUGGAUGAAAUCUGGCAAAGAGAUUUGAAAAGCUUUCAAAUUUUGUAG
rnacentral:lncRNA from 1 species